CCUACGGGUGGCAGCAGUGGGGAAUAUUGGGCAAUGGAGGCAACUCUGACCCAGCAACGCCGCGUGAAUGAUGAAGGUCUUCGGAUUGUAAAGCUCUGUUAUCGGGGAUGAACACCACGACGCUUCCCCAAUACCACGCCACCGCUAACUACGUGGCCGCAGCCGCGGUAAUUCGUAGGCGGCAGUCGUGAUCCGGAAUGACUGGUCGUAAAGGGUGCGUAGGUGUUUUAGUAAGGUGGGGGUGUAAUCCCGGGGCUCAACCUCGGCGCUACAGCGAAAACUGUUCGACUAGAGUGCAGGAGAGGUAAGUGGAAUUCGUAGUGUAGCGGUGGAAUGCGUAGAUAUUAGGAGGAACACCAGGGGCGAAGGCGGCUUGCUGGACUGUAACUGACGCUGAGGCUCGAAAGCGUGGGGAGCAAACAGGAUUAGAUACCCCUGUAGUC
rnacentral:rRNA from 1 species